AGCAGCCCACAGAAGCCGAGUUCGCGCCGCCGGUAGGUGCUGCCAUGCCAGGGGGCGGGAUCGUGGAGCGCCUCGUAGAACCGCACGAAAGCAAAAACAAAGCCAUCUCUCCGAAGCAGAAAUAGAACAGACGUGGCCGGGGAAAGCCAAAUAUUUGUGGCUGGACUCAGACACAUCACGCUCCAGUUUGGGUUCCAAGGUGCUUCUCUCUGGAUUUUCACCUGCCUUGCCAAAAAUGAUUGAUUACGCUGGGCCAACUGGGUGUCCGGCGAUACCCAACAAAUGACUUUGGCCCCUAACCGCAGGCCUUGGCCAGAUAGAAAUCAAUAUUUCACCAUUAAAAUCUAUCAAAGAAGAGUUAAGGCACCAUCUGUCCCUGCCGCCUCUCUAUGGUGUGUGAACAUUAAAUCCGACACUUGUACUACAUGGGUAAUCAAUAUAUAGUGGUUCACAGAUCA
rnacentral:lncRNA from 1 species